rnacentral:rRNA from 1 species
UAAACCAGGAUUAGAUACCCUAUUAUAUUUAAACAAAUUGGGUAGUAUUAUUAAUAAAAACCUUUAUACUUUGGCGGCAUUUUAUCUUAUUAGAGGAAUAUGUUCAUUAAUCGAAACCACACGAUAGUUUUUACUUACUAUAAAAUUUUAUAUACCCCCGUCUAAAGAAUUUAUUUAAAAUUUUUAUUCCAAAUUAUAUUAAAAAAAGUUAGGUAAAGGUGUAGACUAUUAGUAAGAUUAAAUGUAUUACAUUAAAAAAAAUUUAAGGAUAAAACAGUUAACUGUUUAUUAAAAGAGGAUUUAUAAGUAAUUUACUUUUAAUAAAAANUAAUGANUAAGAAAAUAAAUGUGCACAUAUCGCCCGUCACUCUCA